AAUAUCUGUUCUUUUUUCCUUCUUCAGUUGACAAGCAAUAACUUGGGAAAGAUUUAUGGUGAAUACCAGCGGUUUGUAAGCACUGUUCAAGUAAAGUGCCAACAUGAAACAAGAUGCGGACCGGAAGAUGAUUCGGGCUACAAUGUGUGCAUUGACACGCAGUACAAACCCGGAAAGCCAUGUCUCGUAUAUUCAUUUGGAUCAAUGUUUAUGUUUGGAUUCGAAGAUGGUGUAAUAAGGAAGUUCGAAUGUGAAAUCCAUACAUUUGAUCCAAG